GAUGAACGCUAGCGGGAGGCCUAACACAUGCAAGCCGAGCGGUAGAGAUCUUUCGGGAUCUUGAGAGCGGCGUACGGGUGCGGAACACGUGUGCAACCUGCCUUUAUCAGGGGGAUAGCCUUUCGAAAGGAAGAUUAAUACCCCAUAAUAUAUUAGAUGGCAUCAUUUGAUAUUGAAAACUCCGGUGGAUAGAGAUGGGCACGCGCAAGAUUAGAUAGUUGGUGAGGUAACGGCUCACCAAGUCAAUGAUCUUUAGGGGGCCUGAGAGGGUGAUCCCCCACACUGGUACUGAGACACGGACCAGACUCCUACGGGAGGCAGCAGUGAGGAAUAUUGGACAAUGGGUUAGCGCCUGAUCCAGCCAUCCCGCGUGAAGGACGACUGCCCUAUGGGUUGUAAACUUCUUUUGUACAGGGAUAAACCUAUCUACGUGUAGAUAGCUGAAGGUACUGUACGAAUAAGCACCGGCUAACUCCGUGCCAGCCGCCGCCGUAAGAC
rnacentral:rRNA from 1 species